rnacentral:lncRNA from 1 species
UUUCUUCAAAAGAAACACCUUAGACUUGUCAUCUACACAACUUUCAUAUUUUUCCAUGUAAAUAGUCUCUUCAAGGUCUCCAUGUAAAAAGUGGUCUUAACGUUCAUUUGCUUCAGUUCAAGAUUACAUUGAUUCACAAUAGUCAUAAAAGCCCUUAUGAAAAAAUGAUUCAUCAUAAGUGAAAAGAUUUAUAUCCUUUGGCCACAACUAAAGCAUAACAAAUAAGAUCAAUUUAAUCAUAUCUCUGAGGUGGUAUCAUAUCCAUUGUCA